rnacentral:rRNA from 1 species
AUUGAACGCUGGCGGCAGGCCUAACACAUGCAAGUCGAACGAGUGGCGGACGGGUGUGUAAUGUCUGGUAAACUGCCUGAUGGAGGGGGAUAACUACUGGAAACGGUCGCUAAUACCGCAUACCAUCGGAUGUGCCCAGAUGGGAGUGGCUAGUAGGUGGGGUAAAGGCUCACCUAGGCGACGAUCCCUAGCUGGUCGGAGAGGUUGAACAGCCAAACUGGACCUGGGACACGCUCCGUACUCCUACGGGAGGAAGCAGGGGGGAAUAUUGCACACUGGUCGCAAGCCGAAUGCAGCCAUGCCGCGUGUAUAAAGAAGGCCUUCGGGUUGUAAAGUACUUUAAGCGGGGAGGCGUUACCCGCAGAAGAAGCACCGGCUAACUCCGUGCCAGCAGCCGCGGUAAUAC